rnacentral:rRNA from 1 species
AGUCGAGCGCGGGAAGCAAGCAGAACCCCUUCGGGGGUGACGCAUGUGGAACGAGCGGCGGACGGGUGAGUAACACGUGGGCAACCUGCCUGUAAGACUGGGAUAACUCCGGGAAACCGGGGCUAAUACCGGAUAAUACGUUUUCUUGCAUAAGGAGACGUUAAAAGGCGGCGCAAGCUGUCACUUACAGAUGGGCCCGCGGCGCAUUAGCUAGUUGGUGGGGUAAAAGCCUACCAAGGCGACGAUGCGUAGCCGACCUGAGAGGGUGAUCGGCCACACUGGGACUGAGACACGGCCCAGACUCCUACGGGAGGCAGCAGUAGGGAAUCUUCCGCAAUGGACGAAAGUCUGACGGAGCAACGCCGCGUGAGUGAAGAAGGUUUUCGGAUCGUAAAACUCUGUUGUUAGGGAAGAACAAGUGCCGUUCAAAUAGGGCGGCACCUUGACGGUACCUAACCAGAAAGCCCCGGCUAACUACGUGCCAGCAGCCGCGGUAAUACGUAGGGGGCAAGCGUUGUCCGGAAUUAUUGGGCGUAAAGCGCGCGCAGGCGGUCUUUUAAGUCUGAUGUGAAAGCCCACGGCUUAACCGUGGAGGGCCAUUGGAAACUGGAGGACUUGAGUACAGAAGAGGAGAGUGGAAUUCCACGUGUAGCGGUGAAAUGCGUAGAGAUGUGGAGGAACACC